ACAACCUGGAGCAGUUUCCAGUAUUAGAUUGCAAAGAUGGCCUUUGCUGCAUCUCCUUGAGCAAGGAAAGCCAAGAAACCUUUGCUUUUGCAGGAGAAAAUGGGGCAAGCGGGCAGGAAGAAGAGAAGCCCCGUGACUCCUCCCUGAGCCCCAGCCAGCCCCUGAACUGCCUUCCUGGGAAUGGUGGGAUGGGCUGGACUCUGGAUUGCUCCCUCUGGAUGUGUGGCUCUCCCCUCAGGAACUGCAGGAACUCCUGGUGCCGCCUGGGCCGAUGGAUUGGACGCCCCAGCCCCUCCGUUCCUGCCCAGCCACUGGGGCUGUGUCGAGUGGUGGCACUGCCAGCCCUGCAGUGGGAUGGAGCCUGGAAAGUGCACAGAGCUGAGCCAAGGGAUUGAAAGGGACCAAGCCAGGGAGGUGAAGAAAGAAGGAAGAAGGGAAGUGAGGCAGCAGGCAAGCAGCACCAAGUUCCUGUGUAAGCAGGUGAGUUGUGUUGAGGUUCCUAAGGCAGGCACUGAGGACUUGGAGGGCUCCAGACAGAGCAGACCUGGGAAGGCCCUCGGUGAAGCCCCUCAGAGACCUUCUAAGGGUAGGUGUGUAUGGUGAUCAGUGUUGGGAUUGUCCUGAAUGUGGAACAGGAAUGCAGGGAAGGAAAAUGAACCCUCCUGUAAUGCUGCCAUAUCAGCUGCAGUGGAGACACCUGUGUGUGCCCUUUGGGAUCUGAUUGCCAGGACCCCCAUGGGGCUGGGAUCAUGGCAGGGUGUUGUAAGCAAGGAAUGCCUGGCUUCUUAAAGUCACCAGCUGAGUCUUAGAGGCUUCUUUGAAGAGCUGAGUCCAGGCAGCAAAAUUGCCCCCCCCAGGAGGGACUCUGUGCCUGCUCUCCCGUGGCUCCAAGGGAUCUCUGGCCCUUCACGCCGGCACCGAGAUUUUCUCGGGAAGGGCCUCAGAUCCCCGGACCAGUCUGGGACACAGGCAAGAUCCCCCUGCCUUUAGAAAUGAGGCCUUCUUGUGGCUUCCUCCCCGUACCCGUUGGUGGGUUCCAAAGAAGGCCUCUGGAAAUGCCUUUUGGGCUGUCCAUUGAAGCCUUGGGACCAAAUUGGGCCC